rnacentral:lncRNA from 10 species
GCGAGACUCCGUCUCAAAAAAAAAAAAAAAAAAGAAGUACGUGGGGAGGCUCUUCAACAGCAGGUGAUCCGGCGGAGGGCGCGAGGUUGGGAGGGAGGACGACGGAGGGUGCGGGGGGACACGGACGCCGCCGGGCACCCCCACGCGCAUCGCGGCCCAAGCUGGGCUCUGGGAGCAGCCUCAUGACCGCUGCAAAGACGUGUUCUCAGCACAAAGAAAUCUAAAAACCACAAGAAAAUUGCAAACGCCACGAACACCUCCCCACCGAAAGCCACGAAACCCCCUCCAUGGACCACCACGAAACCCCAGUGGCUGAACACCUCGGAACCCCGACCACCAACCUCCUGGGGCCCCAGCAGCUUGAAUACCUCCUGCGCCCAGGAUUUCACUACCUCUCCGGACAGCCCAUUCUCUCCAAAUUUCUGGACGGCAGCUCAGGCCCCUGGAUGCAGCCAUGACUGCCAUAGCACCAGAAUUGUGCCUCCAUGCUGGGCUGAUGCCCCUGCCCCCAUGCCAAGGAUGCUUUAGUAUACCUUUUGGUGCUCCUGCUGCCUCAGCCACAGGAACGCACUGGUGCACUUGGGGCAGGGUUGUCAUGGGGCUGGGUUGGGAGGGUCUACAGGUGCUGAACUGGGAAGAUUCAAGCUCAAGACUGCCACUUCACCGAUUGCCGAAUGACCACAGAGGAGUCCCUGCCUUCCUCUGGCCACAACUUGUCCCUCUGUGGAGAGGAUGAGCUGAGUGACUGAUGACCUCAUGGACGUUCUGGAUGAUUUACAAGCACAGCCUGCUUUCCCUGUUGCGUCCGCCCUGCCCUCCCCUUUCCAUGCAUUUGGCUCUUCCUGCUGCCCCCCACCAGGGGUCCACAGAGACACAGAGAUAAGCUGUGCUUUGACUUGCUUUAUUGAGCCUGUGCAGGAACAGGGAGUGAGCUUCGGCCAGAGCCAACAGUGUGGAGGUGGAAGAGCCCAUGCUGAAGAUUUUCCUAUGCCCCGGAAGCAGGGCCCAUCUACCCAGCCGUUUAGCCCAUCAUCCAUUUCUCCAAGCCUGGGGACGAGAGGGCAGAGAAAAGGGCCACUCCGAGCUGACCACUCCACCUCCUAGACAGUGUGCUGGAGGCACGGACAGCCUGUCCUGUGAGCAGCCCAGCAGCCAGGGCCUCGCAAGUUAGAGAAGUGUAGCAGAGAAAAUGGAGACAUGAGUCCUGGAGACACAUGUCUCAUGACAUCCAGGUCCUCAUGGCUCUGAGGCAGCAGUAGCUAGUGGGAAAUAAGGGCACACCAGGUCACCCACAGGGUGUGGGACAUGGAAUGAACUGGGGAAGCAAAGGACAGAAAUCCAUGGUCUUGUGGGUCUGGCCCUCCACCCAACAGUAGAGACAGAUAUGGGUUCUGGAGAAGACAUCCUGCACAGACCGGCACAGCCACUCACACAGGGACACAUUCCAGUUCACAGCCAUGCACACGAGUGUGCACACACACUUGCAGUCAUCUGAUGGCUCUCCUAGUGUGACAGGUGUGUCCAGAUGCAGAGCAAUACCCAAGCAGGACCUUAGGGCUUUGAAGGCCCCUGGCCCUGCAAAGCACGAACUCCUUCCCUCCAUCCCAGACCCCAGCCUGGGGGAGUUCUCCAGAUCCCCAAGCAGGCUGAGCCCACUUACCCAGAGUCCAGAGUAAACGGUCACUGGACCAAGCAAGGACGUGUCCCUGCCCUCAGCUGGGCCGCUUUUUCAGUCCUCAGUCCCCUAGAGUCCCCGUCUCCUGUCAGCCUCUCCCACUCCGCAGCCCUUACUCCCUCCUCCCACUGUCUCCCUGGUACUCGCAACGCCACUACUGGGCCAGAGAUGGGAGGGGGACGGGAGUGCUGGGGGUGCCAGACUAGCAGCAUAGUCAAUAAAACUGGAUCACAGCAAAAGUCUCCUGUGGGCCCCCAUUGCUGAGACCCCUUCCUUUUGGGCACCAGAGCAGGCUUGGUUCAAGAAAGAUGGGGUUAUGGGACUUCAGGGUGACUGAAAGGUUUUGGUCACAGGCCUUGGAGCUGGCCCUCCCAUCUCCCAAGGAUCAAACCAAAUCAAAUGGAUUCUCUCGGGGCAGAAGAUUGAGGCUGCAGCUGGAGCCUCCAGGAUGAAGAAUGGAAACUCAGGCCAUCCUUUGCAGUUUGGAACUAGAACAAGGUGGGAACAGGGAAGAGGCUUCAGGUCCUCAGGCAAGGUGGAAAGAAGUGGGGUGCCAGGUUUGGAGAAAGCCGUUUGGUGGGUGCAUAGGAUGCAGAAUGAGAACUAAUGUGCCUAGGUUCAGGGGAAAGGUUGAGGGGGUACCAGUUUCUGGUAGCCAUCCUAGAGCCCCCAUUCCAGCGGAGUGCUAAAAACCAGCAUCAUUUGUAAAGCCUCACCUUUUCCAAAGUGCUCCCAGCUCAGUCACCUCACUAAAUCCCCACAACAACCCACUUUACAGAUUCAGGUUCCAAAAUCUGCACAGAAAUGUCAAGUAACUGACUCCAGACCACACAGCUAGUCAGUGGGAGAUCCGGGGUUUGGAACAAAAUCUAACUCCAAAGUCUAACUCCAAACCUGGAUUGUUUUUUUUUCUAAGUGGGACUGUCAAAGUAUUGGUAUAAUUUCCCAAUUUUUUGCUGAGAAACCUGAGGCUCACAGAGGUAAAGAGGCUUGUUCAAGAUCUCAUAGCUACCUAGGUCUCCAAUUCUGGCUUAGAUUCUCAACCCCACUAACCCAUCCCCACCAGAAGCCCCCAGGUUUCCCCUGCCCAGUGUCUCUUCCCAACCCCAAGUCUCCCUCCCCUGCUCAGGCCAAGGAGUGGUAACUGUGUCUGAAUGACACGGUGACACCCAAGUAGGGAGAAAAGGACUUCUCAGUGCUGACGUUCUGCUGUCCCAGAUCAGGACACCAAGAAGUUGGUGGGGGUACUGUUGGGGAAGAGGGGGCCAGAGGUGAAACUCCAUGGAUCUGGCAGGGUGAGCUUAGAGUCAGAUAGACCUGGGUCCAAAUCCUGGCUCCGCCAUUGGCUGGUUGCAUGAGCCUGGGAAAGUAAUUUCUUUAGCCUCCCUGAGUUUCACUUUUCCUCUCUGUAAAAUGAGCUCAUCACAUCCAUCUCAAG